AUUGAACGCUGGCGGCAUGCCUUACACAUGCAAGUCGAACGGCAGCACGGGAGCUUGCUCCUGGUGGCGAGUGGCGAACGGGUGAGUAAUGCAUCGGAACGUACCCGGAAGUGGGGGAUAACGUAGCGAAAGUUACGCUAAUACCGCAUAUUCUGUGAGCAGGAAAGAGGGGGAUCGUAAGACCUCUCGCUUUCGGAGCGGCCGAUGUCGGAUUAGCUAGUUGGUGGGGUAAAGGCCUACCAAGGCGACGAUCCGUAGCGGGUCUGAGAGGAUGAUCCGCCACACUGGAACUGAGACACGGUCCAGACUCCUACGGGAGGCAGCAGUGGGGAAUUUUGGACAAUGGGCGAAAGCCUGAUCCAGCCAUGCCGCGUGAGUGAAGAAGGCCUUCGGGUUGUAAAGCUCUUUCGGCUGAAAAGAAAUCGCACAGGCUAAUACCUUGUGUGGAUGACGGUAUCAGCAUAAGAAGCACCGGCUAACUACGUGCCAGCCGCCGCCGUAA
rnacentral:rRNA from 1 species